rnacentral:rRNA from 1 species
GACGAACGCUGGCGGCGCGCUUAACACAUGCAAGUCGAACGGAAAGGCCUGCUUUCCCUUGUGGAGUGCGGGUACUCGAGUGGCGAACGGGUGAGUAACACGUGAGUGAUCUGCCCCCAACUUGGUUAUAAGCCUGGGAAACUGGAUCUAAUUCCCGAUAGGACUGCAGGGUGGUGCCUGUGGUGGAAGACGAUUUUCUAGUGGUUGGGGAUGAGCCCGCGGCCUAUCAGCUUGUUGGUGGGGUAAUGUCCUACCAAGGCGGCGACGGGUAGCCAGCGUGGGAUGGUGGACGGCCAAAUUGAGACUGGGACACGGCCCAGACGCGUGCGGGAAGCAGCAGUGGGGAAGAUUGGACCAAGGGCGGAAGGCUGAUGCGGCGACGGAGUGUGGGGGAUGACGGGCUUCGAGUUGUAAACUACUUUCGACCGAGAGGAAGCCACCUGGUUGGAAGGGUGGUGACGGUAGUGGUAGAAGAAGCACCGGCUAACUACGUG